rnacentral:rRNA from 1 species
UGAGGUGUGGAUAGGGGAGAAAUUCCAAUCGAACCCGGAGAUAGCUGGUUCUCCUCGAAAUAGCUUUAGGGCUAGCCCCGUAACAGUCUUGCGGAGGUAGAGCACUGAAUUUCCUAGGGGGCGUCAAAGCCUACCGAAGAAUAUCAAACUGCGAAUGCCGUACAGAUGAUUUACGGGAGUCAGACUGCACGAGAUAAGUUGGGUGGUCAAAAGGGAAAGAGCCCAGACCCGCAGCUAAGGUCCCAAAGUGCGUGUUAAGUGGAAAAGGAUGUGGGAUUUCGAAGACAACCAGGAUGUUGGCUCAGAAGCAGCCACACAUUAAAAGAGUGCGUAAUAGCUCACUGGUCGAGUGACUCUGCGCGGAAAAUGUAACGGGGCUAAGCAUACAACCGAAGCUUAGGAUUGUCUAAAGACAGUGGUAGGGGAGCGUUCUGUAUGGGGUGAAGUCGCAGCGAGAGCAGCGGUGGACUGUACAGAAGUGAGAAUGCCGGAAUGAGUAGCGAGAAUUAUGUGGGAAUCAUAAUGGCCGAAAAUCUAAGGUUUCUUGGGGAAGGUUCGUCCGCCCAAGGUAAGUCGGGAGCUAAGCUCAGGCCGAGAGGCGUAGGCGAUGCACAUACGGUAGAAAUUCCGUAACCACCGAAACUUAAACAGAGGGACACUUCGAAAUAGCGGAACCCGGGCGUUGGUUGACCCGGGCGAAAGGGAGCGAAAUUAGAGUAGCGAAGUCCGCGAUGUUCGGAGGCGAGAAAAGCUCUGAGGUAUGCUAAGGUGCCCGUACCGCAAACCGACACAGGUAGAUGAGGAGAGAAUCCUAAGGCCAACGGGAGAAGGGUUGUUAAGGAACUCGGCAAGUUGACCCCGUAACUUCGGAAGAAGGGGAGCCUCGAAAGAGGCCGCAGUGAAUAGGCCCAAGCAACUGUUUACCAAAAACACAGGUUUAUGCUAAAUCGAAAGAUGACGUAUAUGAGCUGACGCCUGCCCGGUGCCGGAAGGUUAAGAGGAGAUGUCAACCGCAAGGUGAAGCAUUGAAUUGAAGCCCCGGUAAACGGCGGCCGUAACUAUAACGGUCCUAAGGUAGCGAAAUUCCUUGUCAGGUAA